rnacentral:rRNA from 1 species
GGGUUGUGAGGUUAAGCGACUAAGCGUACACGGUGGAUGCCCUGGCAGUCAGAGGCGAUGAAGGACGUGCUAAUCUGCGAUAAGCGUCGGUAAGGUGAUAUGAACCGUUAUAACCGGCGAUUUCCGAAUGGGGAAACCCAGUGUGACUCGUCACACUAUCAUUAACUGAAUCCAUAGGUUAAUGAGGCGAACCGGGGGAACUGAAACAUCUAAGUACCCCGAGGAAAAGAAAUCAACCGAGAUUCCCCCAGUAGCGGCGAGCGAACGGGGAGCAGCCCAGAGCCUGAAUCAGUGUGUGUGUUAGUGGAAGCGUCUGGAAAGGCGUGCGAUACAGGGUGACAGCCCCGUACACAAAAAUGCACAUGCUGUGAGCUCGAUGAGUAGGGCGGGACACGUGGUAUCCUGUCUGAAUAUGGGGGGACCAUCCUCCAAGGCUAAAUACUCCUGACUGACCGAUAGUGAACCAGUACCGUGAGGGAAAGGCGAAAAGAACCCCGGCGAGGGGAGUGAAAAAGAACCUGAAACCGUGUACGUACAAGCAGUGGGAGCCUCUUUAUGGGGUGACUGCGUACCUUUUGUAUAAUGGGUCAGCGACUUAUAUUCUGUAGCAAGGUUAACCGAAUAGGGGAGCCGAAGGGAAACCGAGUCUUAACUGGGCGUUAAGUUGCAGGGUAUAGACCCGAAACCCGGUGAUCUAGCCAUGGGCAGGUUGAAGGUUGGGUAACACUAACUGGAGGACCGAACCGACUAAUGUUGAAAAAUUAGCGGAUGACUUGUGGCUGGGGGUGAAAGGCCAAUCAAACCGGGAGAUAGCUGGUUCUCCCCGAAAGCUAUUUAGGUAGCGCCUCGUGAAUUCAUCUCCGGGGGUAGAGCACUGUUUCGGCAAGGGGGUCAUCCCGACUUACCAACCCGAUGCAAACUGCGAAUACCGGAGAAUGUUAUCACGGGAGACACACGGCGGGUGCUAACGUCCGUCGUGAAGAGGGAAACAACCCAGACCGCCAGCUAAGGUCCCAAAGUCAUGGUUAAGUGGGAAACGAUGUGGGAAGGCCCAGACAGCCAGGAUGUUGGCUUAGAAGCAGCCAUCAUUUAAAGAAAGCGUAAUAGCUCACUGGUCGAGUCGGCCUGCGCGGAAGAUGUAACGGGGCUAAACCAUGCACCGAAGCUGCGGCAGCGACACUAUGUGUUGUUGGGUAGGGGAGCGUUCUGUAAGCCUGUGAAGGUGUACUGUGAGGUAUGCUGGAGGUAUCAGAAGUGCGAAUGCUGACAUAAGUAACGAUAAAGCGGGUGAAAAGCCCGCUCGCCGGAAGACCAAGGGUUCCUGUCCAACGUUAAUCGGGGCAGGGUGAGUCGACCCCUAAGGCGAGGCCGAAAGGCGUAGUCGAUGGGAAACAGGUUAAUAUUCCUGUACUUGGUGUUACUGCGAAGGGGGGACGGAGAAGGCUAUGUUGGCCGGGCGACGGUUGUCCCGGUUUAAGCGUGUAGGCUGGUUUUCCAGGCAAAUCCGGAAAAUCAAGGCUGAGGCGUGAUGACGAGGCACUACGGUGCUGAAGCAACAAAUGCCCUGCUUCCAGGAAAAGCCUCUAAGCAUCAGGUAACAUCAAAUCGUACCCCAAACCGACACAGGUGGUCAGGUAGAGAAUACCAAGGCGCUUGAGAGAACUCGGGUGAAGGAACUAGGCAAAAUGGUGCCGUAACUUCGGGAGAAGGCACGCUGAUAUGUAGGUGAAGCGACUUGCUCGUGGAGCUGAAAUCAGUCGAAGAUACCAGCUGGCUGCAACUGUUUAUUAAAAACACAGCACUGUGCAAACACGAAAGUGGACGUAUACGGUGUGACGCCUGCCCGGUGCCGGAAGGUUAAUUGAUGGGGUCAGCGCAAGCGAAGCUCUUGAUCGAAGCCCCGGUAAACGGCGGCCGUAACUAUAACGGUCCUAAGGUAGCGAAAUUCCUUGUCGGGUAAGUUCCGACCUGCACGAAUGGCGUAAUGAUGGCCAGGCUGUCUCCACCCGAGACUCAGUGAAAUUGAACUCGCUGUGAAGAUGCAGUGUACCCGCGGCAAGACGGAAAGACCCCGUGAACCUUUACUAUAGCUUGACACUGAACAUUGAGCCUUGAUGUGUAGGAUAGGUGGGAGGCUUUGAAGCGUGGACGCCAGUCUGCGUGGAGCCGACCUUGAAAUACCACCCUUUAAUGUUUGAUGUUCUAACGUAGACCCGUGAUCCGGGUUGCGGACAGUGUCUGGUGGGUAGUUUGACUGGGGCGGUCUCCUCCUAAAGAGUAACGGAGGAGCACGAAGGUUGGCUAAUCCUGGUCGGACAUCAGGAGGUUAGUGCAAUGGCAUAAGCCAGCUUGACUGCGAGCGUGACGGCGCGAGCAGGUGCGAAAGCAGGUCAUAGUGAUCCGGUGGUUCUGAAUGGAAGGGCCAUCGCUCAACGGAUAAAAGGUACUCCGGGGAUAACAGGCUGAUACCGCCCAAGAGUUCAUAUCGACGGCGGUGUUUGGCACCUCGAUGUCGGCUCAUCACAUCCUGGGGCUGAAGUAGGUCCCAAGGGUAUGGCUGUUCGCCAUUUAAAGUGGUACGCGAGCUGGGUUUAGAACGUCGUGAGACAGUUCGGUCCCUAUCUGCCGUGGGCGCUGGAGAACUGAGGGGGGCUGCUCCUAGUACGAGAGGACCGGAGUGGACGCAUCACUGGUGUUCGGGUUGUCAUGCCAAUGGCACUGCCCGGUAGCUAAAUGCGGAAGAGAUAAGUGCUGAAAGCAUCUAAGCACGAAACUUGCCCCGAGAUGAGUUCUCCCUGACUCCUUGAGAGUCCUGAAGGAACGUUGAAGACGACGACGUUGAUAGGCCGGGUGUGUAAGCGCAGCGAUGCGUUGAGCUAACCGGUACUAAUGAACCGUGAGGCUUAACCUUACAACGCCGAAG